rnacentral:rRNA from 1 species
AUGAACGGCAAGAGCAAGAAGAGCAAGGGCACGCCAUUGCUGGGCAAGUACGAGCUCGGGCGACUGCUCGGCCGCGGCACGUUCGCCAAGGUGUACUUCGCGCACCCGGUCACUGGCGGUGAGCCAGUGGCAGUGAAGGUGAUCGACAAGGCGGAGGUGAUGGGCAUGGAGGGCAUGGCGCCUCGCGUGCUCCGGGAGGUGGUGGCCAUGCGCCGGCUUCGCCACCCGGGCGUGCUCCGCCUCCACGAGGUGCUCGCCACGCGCUCCAGGAUCUAUCUCGUCAUGGAGCUAGCCCCCCGUGGCGACCUCCAGUCCAUGCUCGCCGCUCUACCAAACCGCCGCUUUUCGGAGAAGGCCGCGCGGCGCGUGUUCGUCCAGCUCACGGCGGCGCUUGCCCACUGCCACGCGCGCGGUGUGACGCACCGCGACGUCAAGCCGCAAAACGUCCUCCUCGACAGCGCCGGCAACCUUAAGGUGUCCGACUUCGGCCUAUCGGCGCUCCCAGACACGCUUCGGGACGACGGCCGCCUCCACACCGCCUGCGGCACGCCGGCCUAUGCCGCGCCGGAGGUGCUCCGCCACACAUCAUACGACGGCGCCAAGGCCGACGCGUGGUCCUGUGGCGUCAUGCUCUUCGUCCUCCUCGCCGGACGCCUGCCCUUCGACGACGCGAACAUCCCCGAUAUGUGCCGAAAGGCGCACCGCCGUGACUACGAGGUCCCGCCGUGGGUAUCCCCGCCGGCGCGCCGCCUGGUGCACCGCCUGCUCGACCCGAACCCGGCGACCCGCGUCUCCGUGGAGGCUCUGGCGGCGACGCACCCAUGGUUCGUCAAGCGCUCCCUCAGCCUCGACUCGCAGCUCGACGGCCUCCUCGACGGCCAGCCAGAGCGCGCGCUGGCGUUCCGGGCGCCGGCGGUGAACGCAUUCGACAUCAUAUCCAUGUCGCAAGGGCUCGACCUGUCCGGGCUGUUCGGCGGGAGCAAGAGCAGGGAGAAGCGGUUCAUGACGACAGCGUCGCCGGAGCAGACGCUGGAGCAGCUCAGCCGGGCGAGCGGGAAGCUCGGGUACGUCGUGGUGGGGAAGAAAGGAGUGGGGUGCCAGCGCCGUCCUCCAGGGAGGCCGGCAAUAUCAGUGGGGAUUUCGGAGCUGGUGCCGCCACUAAUGCUCGUCGAGAUGCGGCUGGAGAUGGACGACGGCGACGGCGAGGUUCAAGUGUUUGGUUGGGAUCAGUUGAGGGUGGAGCUAGGGGAUGUAGUAAGGGCUUGGCAUAGCUGUGAAGAUUUGCAACAAGUUCAGUAA